UACGAAGGGGGCUAGCGUUGCUCGGAAUCACUGGGCGUAAAGCGCACGUAGGCGGGUUGUUAAGUCGGGGGUGAAAUCCUGGAGCUCAACUCCAGAACUGCCUUCGAUACUGGCGACCUUGAGUCCGGGAGAGGUGAGUGGAACUCCGAGUGUAGAGGUGAAAUUCGUAGAUAUUCGGAAGAACACCAGUGGCGAAGGCGGCUCACUGGCCCGGUACUGACGCUGAGACGCGAAAGCGUGGGGAGCGAACAGG
rnacentral:rRNA from 1 species